rnacentral:rRNA from 1 species
UUGAACGCUGGCGGUAUGCUUAACACAUGCAAGUCGAACGGAAACGAUACUAGCUUGCUAGUAGGCGUCGAGUGGCGGACGGGUGAGUAACGCGUAGGAAUCUGCCUGAUAGUGGGGGAUAGCCCGAAGAAAUUCGGAUUAAUACCGCAUAAUCUAUUCGUAGUAAAGUGGGGGACUUUCGAGCCUCACGCUAUCAGAUGAGCCUGCGUAAGAUUAGCUUGUUGGUAGGGUAAAAGCCUACCAAGGCGACGAUCUUUAGCUGGUCUGAGAGGAUGAUCAGCCACAUCGGGACUGAGACACGGCCCGAACUCCUACGGGAGGCAGCAGUGGGGAAUAUUGGACAAUGGGGGCAACCCUGAUCCAGCAAUACCGCGUGUGUGAAGAAGGCCUGAGGGUUGUAAAGCACUUUCAAUUGUGAAGAAAAGUUAGCGGUUAAUAACCGUUAGCCUUGACGUUAACUUUAGAAGAAGCACCGGCUAACUCCGUGCCAGCAGCCGCGGUAAUACGGAGGGUGCAAGCGUUAAUCGGAAUUACUGGGCGUAAAGCGUGCGUAGGCGGUUUAUUAAGUCAGAUGUGAAAGCCCCGGGCUUAACCUGGGAACUGCAUUUGAAACUGGUCAACUAGAGUAUGGUAGAGGAAAGUGGAAUUUCUGGUGUAGCGGUGAAAUGCGUAGAUAUCAGAAGGAACAUCAAUGGCGAAAGGCAGCUUUCUGGACCAAUACUGACGCUGAGGUACGAAAGCGUGGGUAGCAAACAGGAUUAGAUACCCUGGUAGUCCACGCCGUAAACGAUGAUAACUAGCCGUUGGGGGGAUUUACCCUUUAGUGGCGAAGCUAACGCGUUAAGUUAUCCGCCUGGGGAGUACGGCCGCAAGGUUAAAACUCAAAGGAAUUGACGGGGACCCGCACAAGCGGUGGAGCAUGUGGUUUAAUUCGAUGCAACGCGAAGAACCUUACCUGGUCUUGACAUCCUGCGAACUUUCUAGAAAUAGAUUGGUGCCUUCGGGAACGCAGUGACAGGUGCUGCAUGGCUGUCGUCAGCUCGUGUCGUGAGAUGUUGGGUUAAGUCCCGUAACGAGCGCAACCCCUAUCCUUAUUUGCCAGCACAUCAUGGUGGGAACUAUAAGGAGACUGCCGGUGAUAAACCGGAGGAAGGCGGGGACGACGUCAAGUCAUCAUGGCCCUUACGACCAGGGCUACACACGUGCUACAAUGGGAAGGACAAAGAGCCGCGAAGCCGCGAGGUGUAGCUAAUCUCAUAAACCUUUUCGUAGUCCGGAUUGGAGUCUGCAACUCGACUCCAUGAAGUCGGAAUCGCUAGUAAUCGUAGAUCAGAAUGCUACGGUGAAUACGUUCCCGGGUCUUGUACACACCGC